rnacentral:sRNA from 1 species
GCAGGGUGCAGUGGUGCACACCUGUAAUCCCAGCAACUUGGGAGGCUGAGGCAGAAAGACUAAGUUCUAGGCCAGCCCCAGCAACUUAGUGAGACCCUGCCUCCA